UAAUCAUUUCUUUCCUUUUUUUCUAGAGCAAAAGGCAGGUUCUGAAUUUACUGUGCUGGUUAUAGCAAUAACCUGCUUGUUUAUUUCUGUGAUUCUUAAUAUUGUUUGCAUCUGUUGCCGAACUCCAAGAGCAGCAUGUGAACAAUGUAAAGAUGCAGUUGCUUUCCAGGCAAAUGUAACAGCAAAAGGAGAUCAGGAAAUUCCACAGACAGAUGAAGACUCAUUGGCUUAUUCUGUAGCAAUUUUCACUUGUGGAAAGAUAAGAUCCAGGAACAAGGACUACAGAACCUGCAGAGGACAAGAACAUCUGUACUUAUUUGAAGGCUCGUAAACUGGAUUAAUAUCUGGACACAUAUAACUCUUGCCUUUUACAUUGGGUUAGGAAUGUACUAACCUAAUGUUCUUUUCCACAUUUUAUUAAUAGUUUUAUAGACAAAAAUAAAUAAUUACAAUGAUAAUUUUCAAUGUAAAUGCUAUGAAUUUUCAUCUAUGAAUUCGUUUUUUCAUUGUGAACUUCUUUUUUCUGAUGUUGUGAUAUGUUUCUAGAUAUUCUUGUAUCUGUAUCUAUUUCUUCGUGAC